AUUAAGGGUAUAUGCACUAGAUG
rnacentral:siRNA from 1 species